CAUGACUUGGCCUUGGUGGAUCCAUGCUGACUGUUCCUGAUCACUUUCUUCUCCUCCAAGUGAUUAUAAAUGGAUUCCAUGAGGACCUGGUCCAUGAUUUUUCCAGGGACUGAGGUGAGACUGACUGCUAGCAGGCUAACUGCU